rnacentral:rRNA from 1 species
UACGAAGGGGGCUAGCGUUGCUCGGAAUGACUGGGCGUAAAGGGCGCGUAGGCGGUUUGUACAGUCAGGUGUGAAAUUCCCGGGCUCAACCUGGGGGCUGCACUUGAUACGUAUGAACUGGAGUGGGGAAGAGGGUCGUGGAAUUCCCAGUGUAGAGGUGAAAUUCGUAGAUAUUGGGAAGAACACCGGUGGCGAAGGCGGCGACCUGGUCCUUGACUGACGCUGAGGCGCGAAAGCGUGGGGAGCAAACAGG